ACGUGCAAAAUGCAAAUGACAAACGUGACGUUUUUCGUGCGCAUGGAGCGAAAAAAACUGUCGAAGAAGCGUUUAACAGAUAAGUGCUGUGCUUCACCCGUGUGCGCAUUAAUACACCAGCAUCACACAUGCUUCUGAAGAUAGUGACUUGAAAAGCAUUCAAGUGCAGGCUGGGAAUCAAACUCAGAAUCUAUUUCGUGCUAGAGAAACACUUUCCCCGUCGCCACACCACGCUUUUCUAGUGUAAAACUUCGAAAAUGUUGGUGACCGGUUGGCAAGGCGCUGUAAUAUCGGCUGUAUCAAUGUUGGCGUUGUUGUUGUUGUUGGUAUGCUCGAUGGCACCCCCCUGUUCAGGCCAGUUCUUCCCGCCUUUCGGCUCUGUGGGCGCUCCUUAUUUGGGUCAUGCUUGUUUAGCUGUAGCGGAUCCACUUACCUGUACCGCAAGUGGAUGUAUUUUUGGGACGGACUCAAUGGGGUGUGACGUCUGCACCUGUCCAGUUGGAGUGCCUAUGCCAAUGCCAGUGGGAAUGCCGAUAUUCUAACGAAAGAAAAAUCUAUAUACGUAUAUAUACAUAUACGUAUAGAAAGAAACGUAUGCGGCCGGUGUGGUUCACGGGCGCCUUAUUGCUGAAAAAAUUAAUGAAAAUAAAUAGAAAUUAUAUUUGCAU